rnacentral:rRNA from 1 species
AAGUUCGAGCCCGUUAAUGGGUGAGAGCGUGCCUUUUGUAGAAUGAACCGGCGAGUUACGAUAUGAUGCGAGGUUAAGUUGAAGAGACGGAGCCGUAGGGAAACCGAGUCUUAAUAGGGCGUAUUAGUAUCAUGUCGUAGACCCGAAACCAUGUGACCUACCCAUGAGCAGGUUGAAGGUGAGGUAAAACUCACUGGAGGACCGAACCAGGGCACGUUGAAAAGUGCUUGGAUGACUUGUGGGUAGCGGAGAAAUUCCAAACGAACUUGGAGAUAGCUGGUUCUCUCCGAAAUAGCUUUAGGGCUAGCGUCGAUGUUAAGUCUCUUGGAGGUAGAGCACUGUUUGGGUGAGGGGUCCAUCCCGGAUUACCAAUCUCAGAUAAACUCCGAAUGCCAACGAGAUAUAAUCGGCAGUCAGACUGCGAGUGCUAAGAUCCGUAGUCGAAAGGGAAACAGCCCAGACCACCAGCUAAGGUCCCAAAAUAUAUGUUAAGUGGAAAAGGAUGUGGGGUUGCACAGACAACUAGGAUGUUAGCUUAGAAGCAGCUAUUCAUUCAAAGAGUGCGUAAUAGCUCACUAGUCGAGUGACCCUGCGCCGAAAAUGUACCGGGGCUAAAACAUAUUACCGAAGCUGUGGAUACCUUUAUAGGUAUGGUAGGAGAGCGUUCUAUGUGCGAAGAAGGUGUACCGUGAGGAGUGCUGGAGCGCAUAGAAGUGAGAAUGCCGGUAUGAGUAGCGAAAGACAGGUGAGAAUCCUGUCCACCGUAAGACUAAGGUUUCCAGGGGAAGGCUCGUCCGCCCUGGGUUAGUCGGGACCUAAGGAGAGACCGAAAGGUGUAUCCGAUGGACAACAGGUUGAUAUUCCUGUACUAGAGUAUAUAGUGAUGGAGGGACGCAGUAGGCUAACUAAACCAGACGAUUGGAAGUGUCUGGCCAAGCAGUGAGGUGUGAUAUGAGUCAAAUGCUUAUAUCUAUAACAUUGAGCUGUGAUGGGGAGCGAAGUUUAGUAGCGAAGUUAGUGAUGUCACACUGCCGAGAAAAGCUUCUAGCGUUAAUUAUACUCUACCCGUACCGCAAACCGACACAGGUAGUCGAGGCGAGUAGCCUCAGGUGAGCGAGAGAACUCUCGUUAAGGAACUCGGCAAAAUGGCCCCGUAACUUCGGGAGAAGGGGCGCUGACUUAUGGUCAGCCGCAGUGAAUAGGCCCAAGCAACUGUUUAUCAAAAACACAGCUCUCUGCUAAAUCGUAAGAUGAUGUAUAGGGGGUGACGCCUGCCCGGUGCUGGAAGGUUAAGAGGAGUGCUUAGCAAUAGCGAAGGUAUGAAUUGAAGCCCCAGUAAACGGCGGCCGUAACUAUAACGGUCCUAAGGUAGCGAAAUUCCUUGUCGGGUAAGUUCCGACCCGCACGAAAGGCGUAAUGAUUUGGGCACUGUCUCAACGAGAGACUCGGUGAAAUUUUAGUACCUGUGAAGAUGCAGGUUACCCGCGACAGGACGGAAAGACCCCAUGGAGCUUUACUGCAGUUUGAUAUUGAGUAUCUGUACCACAUGUACAGGAUAGGUAGGAGCCUAUGACCUCGGGACGCCAGUUUCGAGUGAGGCGUUGUUGGGAUACUACCCUUGUGUUAUGGCUACUCUAACCCAGAUAGGUUAUCCCUAUCGGAGACAGUGUCUGACGGGCAGUUUGACUGGGGCGGUCGCCUCCUAAAAGGUAACGGA